UAGAUGCGAGAGUAGAGCAUAUCAAUAAGCGGAGGAAAAGAAACUAACAAGGAUUCCCUUAGUAACGGCGAGUGAAGCGGGAAGAGCUCAAAUUUGAAAUCUUCAAGGUUCUACCUUGACGAAUUGUAGUUUAAAGAAGUGUUUUCUGUUGGAGUUUUGGUAAAAGUUCUUUGGAAUAGGACAUCAUAGAGGGUGAGAAUCCCGUAUUUGACCAUUAUUUCCAGCUGUGUGAUACACUUUCAAAGAGUCGGAUUGUUUGGGAAUGCAGUCCAAGAUGGGUGGUAAAUUUCAUCUAAAGCUAAAUAUUGGCGAGAGACCGAUAGCGAACAAGUACCGUGAGGGAAAGAUGAAAAGAACUUUGAAAAGAGAGUUAAACAGUACGUGAAAUUGUCAAAAGGGAAGCGUUUGACACCAGUGUUGUUUUCUCGAAAAUCAAUUAAAAAUGAUGGGAUUUUGUGUUGUAUUGACUUUAUCAGCUUUCUGCACUUUUUUCUUAUCUUUUUUAAUGCACUUUUCGUUUAACAAGUCAACAUCAAUUUCUUUUGUUGUAAAAGAGUCAUUGGAAGGUGGCUUUUUCUUCGGAAAAAGUGUUUAUAGCCUUUGGCUUCUGCAAUCGGAGAGAUUGAGGUCUGCAGCGUAGAUCCUUCGGGGUUAGAUACAUUUGUGCUAAGCUAUAGUUCUUUAUAGACAACUUGUUGACUAUAAUCAAUCCUGUAACUUACUCGCUUAUGCUAUUUUACCUACGCUUAGGAUGUUGACGCGCGUGUGUGCGUG
rnacentral:rRNA from 1 species